rnacentral:rRNA from 1 species
AGCAGCCGCGGUAAUUCCAGCUCCAAUAGCGUAUAUUAAAGUUGUUGCAGUUAAAAAGCUCGUAGUUGAAUUUCGGGAUUGACGUGAUGGUCAUGCCUUAAGGGGUAUGAACUGUUGCAGUUGAUUUCUCACCUUCUGGAGAAACUUGAUGUCCUUUAUUGGGUGUCUUGCGGAUCCAGGACCUUUACCUUGAAAAAUUAGAGUGUUUAAAGCAGGCAUUUUUGCUCGAAUACAUUAGCAUGGAAUAAUAGAAUAGGACGGCAUGGUUCUAUUUUGUUGGUUUCUAGGAUCACCGUAAUGAUUAAUAGGGAUAGUUGGGGCAUUAGUAUUCAAUUGUCAGAGGUGAAAUUCUUGGAUUUAUUGAAGACUAACUACUGCGAAAGCAUUUGCCAAGGAUGUUUUCAUUAAUCAAGAACGAAAGUUAGGGGAUCGAAGACGAUCAGAUACCGU